AGCUAACUGCAUCAAUGAAUGAGUGUUUCUUCAUGCAUCAUUUGUAGUCUGCAUUGUUGGAACAUUUGAGAGAGAAGUUCUUCUUGGUCCUUUGCUACAGACCAUAAUCCAAACUGAGAUUUUUUUCUCCUGAAAUGGUUACAACUCAACCUUUUGGAAAUGAAGAGCUGUUGCUUCAGCAGUGAGUUCUUCAUGUUGCCACGUGUGGAAACAGGCAAAGAAAUCAUUCUAAUAACCCUUUCCUGGCUCGUGGUGGUUUUGAAGGGAAGUAAAUAAUUUCCCAUUUAACAAUCUCAAUGAGAAUACCUGUGAAAGAGGAAAGGGCCUAAGGAUGGAAUCAGCCUGAAUAUGUAUUUUAAGAUGAUGCACACCAAAGAAAGAUGAAUGCUGCCUUUCAAACCUGGAGAUCUUCAUCUAUGAAAUGUUUUGAGAAUUAAUGUGUAAUCUUUUCAUCUGAAUAUCAUCUGCCAUAGUGAACAUCUGGAUUAUGUAGUCUUACCAUAACAUGCCCACAAGACCUCAGAAAAUUUUAGAAGGUUCCUGUUGCCUUUGCAAAUAUGGAGACAAGUUAAUAAGAUUUUUGCUUCUAAUUAUAAAUUAGUGUUUUUUCUUCUUAAAAGACUGGAGAA